AAGAUGAAUGUGCAAGGAGAGAUACUGAGGUGCAAAGGAGCAAGAUAAAUAAAUAAAUACAGUAUGGGGAUGAGGUAAUGCAAUCAGUCGAUAUACUCGACAACUAUCUUCAGAAAUCAUGCGAUUUAAAUCAGACAGUGGGCCCCGCCUGAUUCACAAGUGAGUCAGAAGGUUCAAAUCAACGUUUCAUAUCGUGGUGUAGAUGUACUGUAUUGACAAUGGCACAAUAACGCGAGAUCACAUUUCCAGCAUGGCCGACAACCAGACCUCCCUUGCCCGCCAUAGGAAGCAAAAUUGUAAUUAUUAAAUUAUAAGUGAUCAUUGCAUUUGCAGUUCUUAAAUUAUUUAAAAAAUAUUUUUAAACUCUGAAACACUGAACGAGCUUCGGCAACUCGUGGUCCAGGUGACUAGCUUUACUGGCAUUGCUAGCCCUUGGUUGCGUUGCUAGCCCUCGGGCGCGUUCCAGGUUGCAAGUUGACAAGGAUACGUUCCUUGCCAGGCUGCGGUUGCGUUGCUAGGCCGCAACCGCGUCGCAGGUCUGCAUGGGUGCGUCCAGAUGGUCUUCAUGGCUUCAUAAUUUCUGGAUAUAUUAUAACCGAUAUUUGACAUAACAGAUUAACAUAAUUGGUUCAGAUUAUUUGAUGAUUUAUUGGCCUCUACUUUUAUUUUAUUUUUUACAAAUCCCAAAUAACUAUUGCAGGGCUGACCAACUCUGUUCCUGGAGAGCGACCAUCCUGUAGGUUUUCGCUCCAAACCCAGCAGUAACUAACGUGAUUAAACUUAUCAACCAGUUAGUUAGGUGCGCUAGAUAAGGGUCUAAACAAAAACCUACACUCCCAUUCCAACCCAGAAUCCUUACUGGAUUUCUAUUGACUUCCAAGACAAGAUUUGGAAGGAUGGCCACACGAGGCUAGCGUUGAACAUAUCACCUAACCACAUAUUGGUGGUGUUCCUGCCUGAUUAUGUUGAAGACUUUGCGUUGCAUAAACCAAUGUUUGUGCGCCACGUCAUCAAGUGUCGUGAAGUACAUUCCUAUAUCAUAUGAUGUUAGUUAGCUGAUAUGUUAAACACCUAUCCAAGCUUUGCGUGAUCUGGCAGGCAUCUGCAAUGUAGUCAGGCAGGAAUGCCACCCAUAUGAUAUAGCGGAGUAGUAUAGCAAUCUAUUGGUUGAUGCAAUACAUUAUCUGCAAUUUGCAAUUCAUAAUCCAAGAUGGCGUAGCAGUCAGGCGUCUUUGUCCUGUCGUGUACCUUGUAUAUAUCGUUUUACAUAUUUUUCGUCGCAUAUCCUUUAAAAUAUUUUGCUAAACCUCAUCAUCUAAAUGCUUUCCUGCAAACCCGCCUCACCCAAUGUGGUGUGGAUCUGUUUUUUUUUCCUAAAGUAUUUAUAUUUACUUCGGAUCUGGAAUCCCUCAACUGAAGCUAGCCAGCUAACCACCAGACUCACAUCUCCCUCACUAGCUUUAAGCACCAGCUGUCAGAGCAGUUUACAGAUCACUGCACCUGUACUUAGCCUAUCUGUAAACAGCUAAUCUAUCUACCUACCUCAUCCCCAUACUGGUAUUUAUUUAUUUUGCUCCUUUGCACCCCAGUAUCUCUACCUGCACAUUCAUCUUCUGCCGAUCUACCAUUCCAGUGUUUAAUUGCUAUAUUGUAAUUACUUCGCCACCAUGGUCUUAUUUAUUUCCGUAACUUACCUCAUUUGCACUCACUGUAUAUAGACUUUUUGUUUUCUUUUGUUCUACUGUAUUAUUAACUGUAUGUUUUGUUUAUUCCAUGUGUAACUCUGUGUUGUUGUAUGUGUCGAAUUGCUACGCUUUAUCUUGGCCAGGUCGCAGUUGCAAAUGAGAACUUGUUCUCAACUAGCCUACCUGGUUAAAUAAAGGUGAAAUAAAUCAAAUAAAAUAAACAUUUGGUCAGGGCCUGGAACAUGACCCUCAACUAGCUGAAUCAGGUCAAAGAAGAUCGUACAUUUUCCUGAUCAAAUAGGGGUAUUGAAGGCCUUUUUUGACCAGGGAAUGACCAGGAGACGGUUGCCUCUGCUAGCUGAGGCAUCCACCAGAACUGGCCUGUCAGAGAGUAUGGUGAAGAACUGGUUAGGGAAUGAAAGAGUAAAGCUGGCCCAGAGUAAAGCUGUCUCUCAACACAAAACUAAGCUCUACAAAUGUAAUGUGUCAGCUUACAACCUGUUUAUGAGGGACCACCUUAAAGCUAAAGGAGUUAUGGCAGGUACACUGGGCAAAUGGCAGGCAUUUACCACCUGCCACAAAAGCCCAUUACAGUGAGGAGGCAGACAAGCUACGGUCAGGAGUUGAAGGGGAACCUGAAGGCAUUAAAAAUGAAGCAGAUGGACAGGGCAGAGUUCCAUGUAUGACUGUGGCUGCCAAGCAGGUGGUCAUUGAAAUAGAGGGCAUGCCAGCUGGGAUAAAGUUGAAAAAGCCCUCCCACUAUGGCAUGGACCAACUAUCUUCCAUUUUGGAGGCAGGCCGUGGCAUCAAGUUCGCAAUAACUAGGGGUGGUGCUGGGCCUAGAGCUGGAGAUGGGAGUGGAGCUGGGCCUUGAGAUGGGAGUGGAGAUAGAUAUGGGCCUGGAGCUGGAACAGUGCCUGUAGUUGGUGCUGGGCCUGGGCCUUUAACUGGAGGUUAGGCUGAGGCUGGAGCUGAAGGUUGGACUGCACCAGGACCUGUGUCUAAUUCCCUGGAGGUUGGUAAUAAUAUAUACAUGUACGCAGAGUAUUCAAAACAUUAAGGACACCUGCUCUUUCCACAACAUAGACUGACCAGGGAAAAGCUAUGAUCCCUUAUUGAUGUCACUUGUUUAAUCCACUUCAAUCAGCGUAGAUGAAGGGGAGGAGACAGGUUAAAGAAGGAUUUUUACACCUUGAGACAGUUGAGACAUGGAUUGUGUAUCUGUGGCAUGCAGAGGGUGAAUGGACAAGACACAUUUUUUAAGUGCCUUUAAAUGGGGUAUGGUUUUAGGUUCCCGGCUCACUGGUUUGUGUCAGGAACUGCAACGCGCUCAAAUGCUUCCCGUGUGUAUCAAGAAUAGUCAAACACCCAAAGGACAUCCAGCCAACUUGACACAACUGUGGGAAGCAUUGGAGUUACAAUAGGCCAGCAUCCCUGUGGAACGCUUUCGACACCUUGUAGAGUCCAUGCCGGCGAAUUGAGGCUGUUCUGAGGGUAAAGGGAGGGGGGGUGAGCAACUCAAUAUUAGGAAGUUGUUCUUAAUGUUUUGGAAACUAGAUGUAAUUAGAUGUUAUGUAGUUACAGUAUGUAUGUUUUGGAUGUAUACUGCAUGAUAAAAGAGUAAAUAUAAAAGAGUAAUUGUAGUCAAUGACCAGAAUCUUUGCUGGCAUAGAAAGAGUCAGUUCAGAAUUAGAUUUUGGGUACAUAUGUGGAAACUCAUUUACCACACUACGUAAUGAAUGAGGUGUUUCAGUGCAGACACUAUACUAAAAACACAUAUGUUUGAUGGUAUUUUUUCAAAAUGUACUGUGAAUGUAGCCAACAAGUCAACCUGUAUUUUGUCUUCGAUUAUAAAGAACAUACCUUACAAUUUAUCACUUUGUAAUUGUGCCUCUGUAUUUCUUUUCUCCCAGACAUCCUUGCAGUUGCAAUGAACUCCAUUAUUACUUAGCCACAAUGAAUUGUUUUUUAAUAAAAAAUGUUAUUCCA